rnacentral:rRNA from 1 species
UAAUUGGGCGUUAAGUUGCAGGGUAUAGACCCGAAACCCGGUGAUCUAGCCAUGGGCAGGUUGAAGGUUGGGUAACACUAACUGGAGGACCGAACCGACUAAUGUUGAAAAAUUAGCGGAUGACCUGUGGCUGGGGGUGAAAGGCCAAUCAAACCGGGAGAUAGCUGGUUCUCCCCGAAAGCUAUUUAGGUAGCGCCUCGUGAAUUCAUCUCCGGGGGUAGAGCACUGUUUCGGCUAGGGGGCCAUCCCGGCUUACCAACCCGAUGCAAACUGCGAAUACCGGAGAAUGUUAUCACGGGAGACACACGGCGGGUGCUAACGUCCGUCGUGAAGAGGGAAACAACCCAGACCGCCAGCUAAGGUCCCAAAGUCAUGGUUAAGUGGGAAACGAUGUGGGAAGGCCCAGACAGCCAGGAUGUUGGCUUAGAAGCAGCCAUCAUUUAAAGAAAGCGUAAUAGCUCACUGGUCGAGUCGGCCUGCGCGGAAGAUGUAACGGGGCUAAACCAUGCACCGAAGCUGCGGCAGCGACACUCAGGUGUUGUUGGGUAGGGGAGCGUUCUGUAAGCCUG